rnacentral:rRNA from 1 species
CCUGACUGCUAUCGGAUUGAUACUAAGCCAUGCGAGUCAUUGUAGUAAUACAAGGCAGACGGCUCAGUAACGCGUAGUCAACCUACCCUAUGGACGGGGAUAACCUCGGGAAACUGAGAAUAAUACCCGAUAGAACAUUAUGCCUGGAAUGGUUUAUGUUUCAAAUAAUUUAUUGCCGUAGGAUGGGACUGCGGCCUAUCAGUUUGUUGGUGAGGUAAUGGCCCACCAAGACUAUUACAGGUACGGGCUCUGAGAGGAGUGGCCCGGAGAUGGGUACUGAGACACGGACCCAGGCCCUAUGGGGCGCAGCAGGCGAGAAAACUUUGCAAUGUGCGAAAGCACGACAAGGUUAAUCCGAGUGGUUUCUGCUAAAGGAACCUUUUGUCAGUCCUAGAAACACUGGUGAAUAAGGGGUGGGCAAGUUCUGGUGUCAGCCGCCGCGGUAAAACCAGCACCUCAAGUGGUCAGGAUGAUUAUUGGGCCUAAAGCAUCCGUAGCCUGCUUUGUUAGUUUUCGGUUAAAUCCAUACGCUCAACGUAUGGGCUGCCGGGAAUACUGCAAAGCUAGGGAGUGGGAGAGGUAGACGGUACUCGGUAGGAAGGGGUAAAAUCCUUUGAUCUAUUGAUGACCACCUGUGGCGAAGGCGGUCUACCAGAACACGUCCGACGGUGAGGGAUGAAAGCUGGGGGAGCAAACCGGAUUAGAUACCCGGGUAGUCCCAGCUGUAAACUAUGCAAACUCAGUGAUGCAUUGGCUUGAUGCCAAUGCAGUGCUGCAGGGAAGCCGUUAAGUUUGCCGCCUGGGAAGUACGUACGCAAGUAUGAAACUUAAAGGAAUUGGCGGGGGAGCACCACAAGGGGUGAAGCCUGCGGUUC